rnacentral:rRNA from 1 species
GACAGAGGUGCCAAGCGUUAGGCGGAAUCACUGGGCUUAAAGCGUGUGUAGGCGGAUCGUUAAGUACCUUGUGAAAUCCCACGGCUUAACCGUGGAACGGCUGGGUAUACUGGCGAUCUUGAGCCACCUAGGGGCGAGCGGAACAAAUGGUGGAGCGGUGAAAUGCGUAGAUAUCAUUUGGAACGCCAAUGGUGAAAACAGGUAGCUGGGGCUGUGCUGACGCUGAGACACGAAAGCCAGGGGAGCAAACGGG